rnacentral:rRNA from 1 species
UGGGGAAUAUUGGACAAUGGGCGCAAGCCUGAUCCAGCCAUGCCGCGUGAGUGAUGAAGGCCCUAGGGUUGUAAAGCUCUUUCACCGGUGAAGAUAAUGACGGUAACCGGAGAAGAAGCCCCGGCUAACUUCGUGCCAGCAGCCGCGGUAAUACGAAGGGGGCUAGCGUUGUUCGGAUUUACUGGGCGUAAAGCGCACGUAGGCGGACUAUUAAGUCAGGGGUGAAAUCCCGGGGCUCAACCCCGGAACUGCCUUUGAUACUGGUAGUCUUGAGUUCGAGAGAGGUGAGUGGAAUUCCGAGUGUAGAAGUGAAAUUCGUAGAUAUUCGGGGGAACACCAGUGGCGAAGGCGGCUCACUGGCUCGAUACUGACGCUGAGGUGCGAAAGCGUGGGGAGCAAACAGG